GACAGAGGGUGCAAGCGUUGUUCGGAAUCAUUGGGCGUAAAGCGCGCGUAGGCGGCUAUGUAAGUCGGACGUGAAAGCCCAGGGCUCAACCCUGGAAGUGCAUCCGAAACUGCAUAGCUUGAGUGCCGGAGAGGGUGGUGGAAUUCCUGGUGUAGAGGUGAAAUUCGUAGAUAUCAGGAGGAACACCCGUGGCGAAGGCGACCACCUGGACGGUAACUGACGCUGAGGCGCGAAAGCGUGGGUAGCAAACAGG
rnacentral:rRNA from 1 species